GCCGCUGUAGCUCAGUUGGUAGAGCGGCGCUUUCGUAAAGCGUAGGUCACCGGUUCAACCCCGGUCAGCGGCU
rnacentral:tRNA from 1 species